UAGGGAAUCUUCGGCAAUGGGGGCAACCCUGACCGAGCAACGCCGCGUGAGUGAAGAAGGUUUUCGGAUCGUAAAGCUCUGUUUUAAGAGAAGAACGUGUGUGAGAGUGGAAAGUUCACACAGUGACGGUAACUUACCAGAAAGGGACGGCUAACUACGUGCCAGCAGCCGCGGUAAUACGUAGGUCCCGAGCGUUGUCCGGAUUUAUUGGGCGUAAAGCGAGCGCAGGCGGUUUAAUAAGUCUGAAGUUAAAGGCAGUGGCUUAACCAUUGUUCGCUUUGGAAACUGUUAAACUUGAGUGCAGAAGGGGAGAGUGGAAUUCCAUGUGUAGCGGUGAAAUGCGUAGAUAUAUGGAGGAACACCGGUGGCGAAAGCGGCUCUCUGGUCUGUAACUGACGCUGAGGCUCGAAAGCGUGGGGAGCAAACAGG
rnacentral:rRNA from 1 species